rnacentral:rRNA from 1 species
UACGGGGGGGGCAAGCGUUGUUCGGAAUUACUGGGCGUAAAGGGCUCGUAGGCGGCCAACUAAGUCAGACGUGAAAUCCCCAGGCUCAACCGGGGAACUGCGUCUGAUACUGGAUGGCUUGAAUCCGGGAGAGGGAUGCGGAAUUCCAGGUGUAGCGGUGAAAUGCGUAGAUAUCUGGAGGACACCGGUGGCGAAGGCGGCAUCCUGGACCGGCAUUGACGCUGAGGAGCGAAAGCCAGGGGAGCAAACGGG